UACGAGGGGUGCAAGCGUUGCUCGGAAUUAUUGGGCGUAAAGGGUAGGUAGGUGGUCUCAUUUGUCUUGUGUGAAAGCCUUGGGCUUAACUCAAGAAGUGCGCAAGAAACGGUGAGACUGGAGUCUUGGAGAGGGUCGUGGAAUUCCCGGUGUAGCGGUGAAAUGCGUAGAGAUCGGGAGGAACACCAGAGGCGAAGGCGGCGACCUGGACAAGUACUGACACUCAACUACGAAAGCGUGGGGAGCAAACAGG
rnacentral:rRNA from 1 species